CCUACGGGUGGCAGCAGUGGGGAAUAUUGCGCAAUGGGCGAAAGCCUGACGCAGCGACGCCGCGUGAGGGAUGAAGGUCUUCGGAUCGUAAACCUCUGUCAGCAGGGAAGAACGGUCACUUUGCUAAUCAGCAGUGAAUUGACGGUACCUGCAAAGGAAGCACCGGCUAACUCCGUGCCAGCAGCCGCGGUAAUACGGAGGGGGCGAGCGUUAAUCGGAAUUACUGGGCGUAAAGCGCGCGUAGGCGGUAUGUCAAGUCAAGGGUGAAAUCCCCGCGCUCAACGUGGGAACUGCCUUGGAAACUGGCAAACUGGAGUGUGGGAGGGGAGAGUGGAAUUCCAGGUGUAGGAGUGAAAUCCGUAGAUAUCUGGAGGAACAUCAGUGGCGAAGGCGACUAUCUGGAACAUAACUGACGCUGAGGAGCGAAAGCGUGGGUAGCAAACAGGAUUAGAUACCCGAGUAGUC
rnacentral:rRNA from 1 species